GUGGGAAGGACCAAGCCAAGGAGGAGUUUGCACCAUGGGUGAUCUCCAGAAGGAUCCUGAGCCCAGUUAAUUCCCAGUACCCCGAUGGGAAUCAGCAAACGUCCUGGAGCAGAGGAGCUGCACAAGCCAAAGUGGGAAAUACAAGUGAUCCCUUGGGAAGGCUCUUCUCUGCAGAACUCAGCCCAGGGAUCUGGGACAUCUCCAGGAUCUGGGACUUUCUGCUUCCAGAAUCGUUUCAGAGCAGACACACUCAGUGAGGAAAGUUAGCAAGG
rnacentral:lncRNA from 1 species